rnacentral:rRNA from 1 species
GAUGAACGCUGGCGGCGUGCCUAAUACAUGCAAGUCGAGCGAACGGACGAGAAGCUUGCUUCUCUGAUGUUAGCGGCGGACGGGUGAGUAACACGUGGAUAACCUACCUAUAAGACUGGGAUCACUUCGGGAAACCGUAGCUAAUACCGGAUAAUAUUUUGAACCGCAUGGUUCAAAAGUGAAAGACGGUCUUGCUGUCACUUAUAGAUGGAUCCGCGCUGCAUUAGCUAGUUGGUAAGGUAACGGCUUACCAAGGCAACGAUGCAUAGCCGACCUGAGAGGGUGAUCGGCCACACGGGAACUGAGACACGGUCCGGACGCCUACGGGAGGCAGCAGUAGGGAAUCUUCCGCAAUGGGCGAAAGCCUGACGGAGCAACGCCGCGUGAGUGAUGAAGGUCUUCGGAUCGUAAAACUCUGUUAUUAGGGAAGAACAUAUGUGUAAGUAACUGUGCACAUCUUGACGGUACCUAAUCAGAAAGCCACGGCUAACUACGUG